CACUCAGUGAAGGGAUAACUUUCCAGCUGGCUGAUCAGGAAAAGGACUACGCUUCUCAAGUAACAAAGACUUCAAAACAUGCUCAUUUCAAAAGAUCAACUAACCUCCACGCUUGUUUGGAAAGAAAGAACAGAGGCAGCACAAUCCAGAAGUUUCAGAGCCAUGAACCAUGAGACGAGGGAGAUGUUUUCUUGUACCCCACAAGAAAACUGUCCUCUCACAAGAAGAUUGUUUGCUCUGUCCUGGAGUGAAGCAAUAACUAAGGUGCAUUUCUGAUGUCUGUACUGCAUAGUGGCUAACUUGAACAGCUCUUAACCCAAAGAAUUGGCUGAGGUUAAUUGGAGCUGGCAUUCAUUUUCAGCAAACAGGAACUUUGAAUACACAUGAAAUUAAAGUGAAGCUUUGGGAAAAGUAACACCACAAGAAAAUGGCAAUUAAAUUCAGAAAAUAAUUAUGGGCAAUUCAUAGAAUCAUAGAAUGGCUCGGGUUGGAAGGGACCUCAUCUACUUCCGCCCCCCUUGCCACAGACAGGGAAUUUAAAAAGAUGGGCAAUGUAAAAAUCACAGAUUUUUUUUAUAUGUUGCCUUAUUUUAAAUUAACAAUUUCAUGUAAGCCUUUUUGAUAUAUUUCCUACAAUUUUCAUUUUGAUUUUAAAGUAGCUUAACUUUUGGUGGAAAAAAACAGUCAUGAAGUAUAUUUAAGUAAAUUAAAACAGUUUAUGUGUUUCAUGUAGUUUCAAAGUGAAACACUGUUAUUUGGGUGGACUGGAGAACUUGUUGAAAUCCCCCAUAGUUUCAGCAGUAACCUAAUCGAUUUCUCAGUAACCUAAUCAAUUUCCCAAUUAACUAAACUAGAAACUCCAUUCCACACCCAGAUUUAUGGUUAGUCCAAAUCUGAGGUAUUUAACUCUUCCUACACAGUCUAGUGAACCUUUGCAACUAAUGGUUUACCACAGAUGUGAACUUCUCUGUCUGUGCUUAUCACCACUGUAAUUUAGAAUAGAUUUUAUGAGCUCAGUUCAACUUUGGGGAAAGUUUAGCAGUAUACUUUAAUCACUGGGUUUGGGAUAAGGGGAUGGAUUUUAACAAGGCAUAAGAUUUAUGCAGGGAUAAAUAUAGACUCUCAGGAAGAAAAUAUGGAAGUAUGAGAGGCUAUUAAACUUGUGAUGAAAGAUCUAGGAGCAAGAGACAUAGUAAGUGAUUCAUCCUACAGCUGAGGAGCAUAUUUUUUAGUCUGGCACUGAUUAUCUCUGUAUCUCUAGGGAUGCAGAGCUUGUACCAAAAAAAAAAAAAAAAAAAAAAAAAAAAAAAAAAAGCGAAGACUUUUUCACUUCAAAAAGGUAUUCUUCCAUAAUACUUGAAAACCAUCUACAAAAUAUUUGCAUAUAUUUUAAUUCUUGGAGACAAUUUUAAUGCCUUAGAGCCCAUAAACAUUCUAGAAAGCAAAUCAGGAAAUAGAAAUUCAUGUUAAAGAACUGCCUGUCAAAAGAAUGCCAGGAAAAUAAAGUAAAUUGGAAUACAAGUAUUUUAUUUUAU
rnacentral:lncRNA from 1 species